rnacentral:rRNA from 1 species
UACGGGAGGCAGCAGUGGGGAAUUUUGAGCAAUGGGCGAAAGCCUGAAGCAGCAACGCCGAGUGAGUGAUGAAGGCCCUCGGGUCGUAAAGCUCUGUAGGGAGGGAAGAAAUGAUUUAGGGUUAAUACCCCUUGAUCUGACGUACCCUGAAGAAGCUCCGUUCCC